rnacentral:lncRNA from 1 species
GGCAUAUCGAACGACUCCUCAUAUACCAAUAAGAGAAUCACCAUUCAAUUUAGCCUAUAGAAUAGAAGCAAUGAUCUCACUUGAGAUCGGAUUAUCUUCAACAAGGGUUGAGCAAUAUAGUGAGCCGAACAAUUCUGAAUAUCGGAGAGCCGAUCUAGAUCUACUUCCAGAAGUUCGACAGGAAGCUCAAAUUUGGAUGGCAGCAUAUCGGCAAAGGAUAGUCCGGUAUUACAAUGCAAAAGUUAAACUGAAGG